CGUUGUGACGUCACACCGGGAAGCAAUCCGCCAUUUUCUCAAACACAUUACAAACACCGAGUCAAAUCAGCUUUGUUAUUUUCCGUUUUUUCGACUGUUUUCCGUACCUUGGAGACAUCAUGCCUCGUCGGUGUGUUGUCGGAGGGUGUAACAACACGAACAGGGACGGAUUCAAGUUGCACCAGUGGCCCAAAGAUGCGAAAAUGGCAAGAAAUUGGACGUUUGUUCCGCACACUAUACCAACGAAGGCUAUGCUACGACAGAGAUGGCAAGAAUGUGUGGAUAUCCUGCGACACUCAAAGCAGAUGCAUUUCCAACUGGACUGGACAGAUCAGCUUUCAGGAAAAGAGAGCGGAUGAGGGUAUGUCUACAGAAUAUAUUAAUUGAUGAAAACUGGGCUGUCUGCACUCUCAAAGUGCAUGUUGUUGCCAAAUGUAUUUCAUAUGCUGUAAACCUAGUUCAUAGUUGUUAGUUUCCUUUAUUGCCAAACAAACACAUACCAAUCGUUGGUUAGAAGGCGAUCGCCGAAUUCGUCCUCACUUUCUCCCGUGUCGCUGGCUGUUGUGUCGUUUUCGUCAGUUUCGCUUGCAUACGGUUCAAACCGAUAUGGCUCAAUAGCUUCAGUUUCUUCUUCAAUUUCAUUUUCGCUACCUGCCUCCACACUACAACCAUCCGUUUCAAUACAUGCGUAAUCUGUUGAAACGCUUAAACCGCUGAAAUCCGAGUCUGAAUCCGAGCCAAUGUCGCUAUAUCUUGCUGUUCUAUCCGCCAUGUUUGUUUGUAUUGGCAUCACUAUGUGACGUCACAGGAAAAUGGACGGGUGUAUAUAACGAUGGUUAAAAUCAGGCACUUUGAAGAUAUUGCGUGAUGGGUAAAAUUUCGGAAAAAAAAUUGAAAAAUAAAAUAAGCCACUGGGAACUGAUUUUUAAUGGUUUUAACCCUUCUGAAAUUAUGAUAAUCCAUCCAUCCAUCCAUCCAUUUUCUACCGCUUAUUCCCUUUGGGGUCGCGGGGUGCGCUGGAGCCUAUCUCAGCUACAAUCGGGCGGAAGGCGGGGUACACCCUGGACAAGUCGCCACCUCAUCGCAGGGCAUUAUGAUAAUGUUCCCCUUUAAUAUGUCUGUGUGGAAACUCGUUUGGUACACCUCCGAACCGAACCGAACCGAAACCCCCCUACCGAAACGAUUCAAUACAAAUACACGUACUGUUACACCCCUAGUUUUAGUGCAUUAGGAAAGUCUAACUAGGCUUGUUAAUGUGCUAAUUGUGGUGUAAGUUCUGCCAACGCGUUUGUCGCAUCUCCUUGAGAAAUGACAGUUCCCCCCCCAGUCAGCAACACAUUGGGGUUCAGACAAGUUGACUCAUUUUGUCACCUUCUGCCUGGGGGACCGUGUCGCUCUCACGCCGCCGCCACUGUAGCACUCUGCGGCGGCGAAAUAUGCUGGCAUGUUUGCCGCCUGGUAAUUACCAGUGCCUGAUAAGCGACGCGGGGAACUUUUUCCCAGCGAUGUGAUUUCCGCCGAGGCCUUAUCGCGAUUGAACGAGAUUGUCUUUGUUCAAAUUGGCCGAGCCGCCGCGCUGGAAACGGGCCUGGUCUGACACCCGUGAUUAGACUGCGACAAGUCACACCGUCGCCGAAAUGUCCGACGCGUCGUAAACACAACACGCGCACACAAAGAGGGUGAUAGGAUGUGAGGAAAGACCACUUUCUACUCGUUUGUGUUCACACGGCUCAGGAUUCCUCGGUUGCCAUGGAGACGGCACGCUUCCUACAUCCCCUCUCCUUGCAGCAGCACCUAUGUUUAUGCCUUAACAGGCUUCUGUCACUGUAACCAUGGCGACAUACGUGGGUCUCUUCCCUGCCCGCUACCUGUUUGCCUCUCUUUGUGUCCGUCUUUUCCCGUGUUUGUCUUUCCGCCUCCCGCCCGUCCUCUUCCCCCUCACAUCCCUCACAGGGUUUAUUUGCUUGCACGCCGCCACCCCAUGUUUUUUAACAGGGAGGGAUUUAGGUAAUGUUCACAGAGGGCAGCUGUUGCUAUGGUGACCCAACUUUUAGAUCUGCCGUGUGUGGCGAGGGAUGAAUGGAGGGAUUGAAAGAAGGGGGUGGGGGUGCGGAAAAGGGAAUUGGAGAGCAUUUUCUUUUUCUUUUUUUUUAAAGCAAAACCUGAAGACAAAUAACUGCUAAAAAAAAAUCAAUUUUUUUCUGUUUUUCAUGCUGAUAAAUUGAGCUCUCAGCUUGCACUUGGUAGCAAAAGACGUGUCCAAAGUGGGGUCUUUUCUGGCCUGUUUAUUUUAGUGUAAAAAUAAGAUGAGAUACGGUAGCGCCUUUGUUUUUAUACACACACCUUUUCAUAUGAUUUGGUUAUUGAUGGAAAUCUUGGGCAAAAUUGUGCCCCCGUUUUCAUACACUGUCGCUAGUAAACACCCCCGUUGUAAAGCGUCGCUCCAAUCUUCCAUAAAAAUGGCGUGAAAAAAAAAAAUUGAGAGCGAGUCCACCUCCUCUGCUUCAUGUGUGUCAAUGCCUUUGGAAGAAAAAAAAAAACAGCAUUAUAACAUUUGAAUAUUCAUAGCAGGCAAGCAGGGUGUGUUGGCGUGAUGGAAGAGCCGCUGGGUAUUGAUGCACAGCUGCAGAAUUAGCUGUGAAAAUGCUCUUGAUUUACGCUGAGCGUGAAGCACCCAGGACCGGGGUCGGGUCAGGGGAGAGGCUGGUUGGUGGGUUCGACCUCAGCGAUGCACUUGAGUAAGAAUGAGGUGCAAUGAGAAAUCACAAGGAGUAGGAAUGAGAAUAAUGAAAAAGGAGGAUGGGGAGAAAUGAGAAGGAGAAGGAGAGAGGAAGUAUGACAAUGAGUAGGAAUGAGAACGAGGAGGCAUGAUAAACGUGAAGGAGUGGGAACGAGGAGGAUUGACAAUAAUUAGGGAUAACGAAGAAUGAGAUUGAGGAAGAAUGAAAAUGUGAAGGAUAGAGGGGGGAUGAGUAAUACAAUAGGAAGAAUGAGACAUAGGAAUCAGCUGAAAAAAGGGUAAUCAGGAAUGAGAAAUAUGAAUGAGUGAGAAAGAGGAGGAAUGAUGAAUACGAAUGAGUAGGAAAAUGAGUUAUGAGGGGGAGAAAAGAUAAGGACUAAGAAUGAUAAGGAAUGAGAAAUGACAAUGAGUAGCAAAAAGGAAGAAUGAGAUAUGAGAUUGAGGGAGGAAGAGGUGAAAUGAGAAAUGGAGUUGAAGAGGGAUGUGGUGGAAUGAGAAUGAGUAGGAAGGAGGAAUAGCAAAAAAACGUAGGUGUGAGGAAAAUAAGUUUAGAAAGGAGGAAGAAUGAGAAUACCUAGAAAUGAAAAGGGGAUAAUAAUAAAUGAAAGCAUGGAGGAAUGAAAAAAUGAGAAUGAGGAGAAAUUUGAAAAAGUAGAUAGGAUGAAUGAGAAAUGACAAGUAGGGGGAAAGAAAAGGAAUGAGAAUGAGGAGGAAUUAGAACAAGGGGGGAAAGGACAAAUAAUACGGAAAAAUAAAAUGGGGGGGGAUUAUGGGAAACAAGAAUGAGAAUGAAGAGGACAGAGAAGGGAUGAAAAAUAAUAAUGGCAAGAAAUAAAAAUGAGUAUUAAAGAGGAAAAAUAAGGAGGAAUAAGAACGAGGAUUAAUGCAAAAUGAGGAUAAGUAGGAAAGAAGAGUGAGAAAGAGGAGGAAUGAUAGAUGCGAAUGAGUUAUGAGGGGGAGAAAAGAUGAUAAAUGACAAUGAGUAUGAAAAAGGAAGAAAGAGAUUGAGGGAGAAAGAGGAGAAAAUGAGAAAUGGAGUUGAAGAAGAAUGUGGUGGAAUGAGAAUGAGUAGGAAGGAGGAAUAGCACAAAAACAUAGGAAUAAGGAAAAUACAUUUGAAAAGGAGGAAGAAUGAGAAAAAGUAAAAAUGAAAGGGGAUAAUAAUAAAUGAAAGUAUGGAAAAAUGAGAAUGAGGAGAAAUGAGAAAUUUGAAAAAGUAGAUAUGAGGAAUGAGAAAUGACAAGGAGGGGGAAAGAAAAGGAAUGAGAAUGAGGAGGAAUUAGAACGAGGGGGGAAAGGACAAAUAAGAAUACGGAAAAAUAAAAUGGGGGGGGUUGCGGGGAACAAGAAUGAGAAUGAAGAGGACAGAGAAGGGAUGAAAAAUAAUAAUGGCAAGAAAUAAAAAUUAGUAUUAAAGAGAAAGAAUAAGGAGGAAUACGAACGAGGAUUAAUGCAAAAUGAGGAUGAGUAGGAAAGAAGAGUGACAAUGAGGAGGAAUGAGAAAUACGAAUGAGUGAGAAAGAGGAGGAAUGAUAAAUGCGAAUGAGUAGGAAAAAUUAGUUCUGAGGGGGAGAAAAGAUGAGGACUAAGAAUGAUAAGGAAUGACAAAUGACAAUGAGUAGGAAAAAGGAAGAAAGAGAAAUGAGAUUGAGGGAGAAAGAGGAGAAAAUGAGAAAUGGAGUUGAAAAGGGAUGUGGUGGACUGAGAAUGAGUAGGAAGGAGGAAUAGCACAAAAACAGGAAUAAGGAAAAAAUAAGUUUGAAAAGGAGGAAGAAUGAGAAAAAGUAGAAAUAAAAAGGGGAUAAUACAUGAAAGUAUGGAGGAAUGAAAAAUGAGAAUGAGGAGGAAAGUGGAGGAAUUCGAAUGUGUAGAAAUACAAAUGAGGAGAAAUGAGAAAUUUGAAAAAGUAGGAAAGAG